rnacentral:rRNA from 1 species
CCCCUAGAUGUUCUGGGCCGCACGCGCGCUACACUGAACAGUUCAACAAGUCUUAACCUUGGCCGAUAGGUCUGGGUAAUCUUUGAACGCUGUUCGUGAUUGGGAUAGACCUUUGCAAUUAUGGGUCUUCAACGAGGAAUUCCUAGUAAACGCAAGUCAUCAGCUUGCAUUGAUUACGUCCCUGACCUUUGUACACACCGCCCGUCGCACCUACCGAUUGAAUGGUCCGGUGAAAUCUCGGGACGGCGGCUUGGUCGCUUGCGUCCGACUGCUGAAACUUGAUUAAACCAUAUCAUUUAGAGGAAGGUGAAGUCGUAACA